GUACUUUGGUAGUGCAUAUACUAAAAUUGGAAUGAUACAGAGAAGAUUAGCAUGGCCCCUGCCCAAGGAUGACACGCAAAUUCGUGAAGCGUUCCAAAUUUUU
rnacentral:snRNA from 1 species